UUCCGGAGCUAACGCGUUAAGUCGACCGCCUGGGGAGUACGGCCGCAAGGUUAAAACUCAAAUGAAUUGACGGGGGCCCGCACAAGCGGUGGAGCAUGUGGUUUAAUUCGAUGCAACGCGAAGAACCUUACCUGGCCUUGACAUCCAGAGAACUUAGCAGAGAUGCUUUGGUGCCUUCGGGAACUCUGAGACAGGUGCUGCAUGGCUGUCGUCAGCUCGUGUUGUGAAAUGUUGGGUUAAGUCCCGCAACGAGCGCAACCCUUAUCCUUUGUUGCCAGCGNUUCGGCCGGGAACUCAAAGGAGACUGCCGGUGAUAAACCGGAGGAAGGUGGGGAUGACGUCAAGUCAUCAUGGCCCUUACGGCCAGGGCUACACACGUGCUACAAUGGCGCAUACAAAGAGAAGCGACCUCGCGAGAGCAAGCGGGACCUCAUAAAGUGCGUCGUAGUCCGGAUUGGAGUCUGCAACUCGACUCCAUGAAGUCGGAAUCGCUAGUAAUCGUAGAUCAGAAUGCUACGGUGAAUACGUUCCCGGGCCUUGUACACACCGCCCGUCACACCAUGGGAGUGGGUUGCAAAAGAAGUAGGUAGCUUAACCUUCGGGAGGGCGCUUACCACUUUGUGAUUCAUGACUGGGGUGAAGUCG
rnacentral:rRNA from 2 species